AUGCUCGUCCCUGACCCUGGCCUCCUGGAUGCCACCCCUGCUCCGCUCCUCAGCACCGUCCGCUCGGGGUUCUAUCCCUGGCGCCUGCCUGUGAGCUCCAAAGGGGAGGACACCUGCCUGGCUCAGCUCGGAGCAGGUACCGGCGCACACCGCACCCUCCUGGCAGCAGGAAGCUCUGUGUCCCUGAAUACCCGGUGCUACCUGUACCCGACCUGUGUGCCCACGUGGCUGUGCUUACCUUGCUGUCAGAUAUUUUCUUUGCCUCCUUCCCGAGUCCUCGCUGGUGUUCCGAUCUGGCUUGGACGCCCCGGAGGCGCUCCCGGCGAUGCACUUCGGUCCUCCUUCUCCUGCUGUAACGCCGGCACACCGGUGAAUUACAAACUGCAGGAGCUCAUCUGGCCUGCAGAUCUGAGGACCGCCAAGUCCAGGAGCAUCAGGUCCACGGAACAGUGGUGAAACACUGGGCACCUCGGCCAUCGUCGCUGGCGGAAAGGUGUCUGCGGGCCAAGGGACCCUUGCCUGGCCCAGCAAAAGACAUUCCAAAUGCAGAGUCUGUCUCCCGGAGCCAACGGGCCGGGCCCCCACCUGGAUCUGUUUGUACACGUGCUGAAGAGAGCAGCGCUAAGCACGGUGAUUACAGGCAGCUGAUCAAUUAGCCCGUGCUCAGGAACCUGAUCGCAGCAGUCAAUCGGUGAUUGCCAAUCUGCAUAUUUAUCCAGCAGCAUUAAUUAUGCAUCCCGCGGCAUCAGUCCCCAUGACACGCACGGUGCUUGCUGUGGAUCGGGCCGCCUGCCGGGCCUGUCAGGGUCGGGGGCGAGUGCGGGGGACCCACACGGCGGCAGCCAAUGGGCGUGGAGCUGAGCUGAGCUCGACCUCUGCAAUGACCGAGGGACCUGGGCCUGGGUUGGGGUCUUUCUUUAAAUCCCGGUCGCGAAGAGGUGGAUGGCAGACUUUAUCCAACCAGCGGGUGUGUUUUUCUGUCCUGAACAAUUGCGGUUUUAGAAAAUGACAUCAAGUAUUCCGAGUGGUUGUGUCAGUUGGCCGCAGUCCCCAGCCCUCCCUACUGCCUCCUGCGCCAUCUAAGGAGUUUCUGGCUGGGCUUCCUUGGGCGUCUGAAUUGGCAGCUCAAAGGUCAGGGUUUUCUCAGCCUUGUCUUUUUCAUUAGUGUCCGCCGAGGAGCUCUUUCCACAUCUGUCCCACUCACCCCCUCCCGCCAAUGGGACAUGCGGGGCAGACUCUGACCUGAGGUCUGUUUCCACGCCAGGCACGUCGGUGAGCCUUUCUGCCCCAGGAGCAGGCUGGGAACACACCUCUGGGCCCGGGCCUCUGGGGUCCCCGGGAAGAGUGGGGACAGGAGGGCCCGGCCCCAGGCCCAGGCCGUCGGUCCGUGCGAGCCCCCUCCACGUCCCAGUGAGCCGGGGCUCCUGCCCGCCGUCCAUCCUGGCUCCCGAAGCUCCGGGCCUCCACCUCCCUCCCUGUUCCCAGCCCUGCCCAGUGCCCUGAAGCACCCGCAAAUGCCCCAUCCUCAAGACCCAGGGCAUCCACAGCCACCUCUCUGGCCAGGCGGGUGCCGAGGUUUCAGUGGAAGCCUUCUGGGGAGGCUUCGUGAUGAGACCUGCAACUUGCAAGUGAGCAGAUGCCUGGAGGUGCAAGGGACCCACUUGGGGCUGUCCGGUGGGUCUGGAAGGACAAGACCCCCGAGCAAAGGUGGAGGCCAGUGCUUUUUGUCCACCCCGCUCACAAUGACAGCAAGUGCAGUCGCCCUGGUGUCACCUGGGCCUGGCACAGUGCCUGGCACGGAGGGGGAGCCCACGAAGAAUCCUGAUGUGAUGUGGGAAGACACAUUAAAACAGGAAGGGCUCUGACAAGUCCUGCGAUGUUAUACAGCAGAGAAAAGGAGCGAGCGAGCGAGAGCUCCUCACAGCAGCAUGGGUGGAUCUCAGCAUACAACCUGGAAGGCAAGGCACUGGACAGGGAAUACUAGUGGCAUGAUUCGUGUCAUCACUAUUAACAGUCCCUCUGUAUAAAACCUCAAAACAAGCCAGGCAUGGUAUGUAUCUCUGGAUCUAUCUACUAAGUGAGGCUGAGGCAGCGGGACCACUCAAAUCCUGGAAUUUGACACCAGUCUGGCGAACAUGGCAAGGCUCUAUCUCUGAAUAACUGCGUGCACAAAUAAGGAAAUAAGAGCUGGGGAUGUAGCUCAGUGCAAAGGCACUGGGGUCAAUCCGCAGUACCGCACCACCUGGAAAGAAGCACAGCACACAUAAUCAUGUACG
rnacentral:lncRNA from 1 species